rfam:Acinetobacter sp. ANC 4149 Contig33, whole genome shotgun sequence.
GGGGGUGUUUCUGGCUUCGACGCUGGUGAUGAAACUCAUAGAUGCAUGCCGAGAGCGCAUUUUCUCUCGUAAAUCAAAUUUGCAUUUUUUAGUCGCAAACGACGAAUCAUACGCUCUAGCUGCCUAAGGGCAGCUUGUCCGCCUCUCCGAAUACUUGUGGUUAGAGAGUCCGACUGAAGCGCACGCACACAAGUCCGUAUUAAAGCCACGCCUCGGGGCUUUGUACUAAAUUUAGAGGAUCGCGAUUUGUACCCUGUUCGUCGGGUCACAAAGAGUUAAAACAGUAGACGAUAUCUAAGCAUGUAGUAUUCUCGAGCGUAAUGCUGGCGGACGCGGGUUCAACUCCCGCCACCUCCACCA